GAGUGGCGGAUGGGUGAGUAACGCGUAUGCAACCUACCUUUCACAGUGGGAUAGCCCAGAGAAAUUUGGAUUAAUACCGCAUAGUAUGCAGGACCAGCAUUGGAUCUGCAUUAAACAUUUAUGGGUGAGAGAUGGGCAUGCGUUCUAUUAGUUAGUUGGAGUGGUAACGGCACCCCAAGACCGCGAUAGAUAGGGGCCCUGAGAGGGGGAUCCCCCACACUGGUACUGAGACACGGACCAGACUCCUACGGGAGGCAGCAGUGAGGAAUAUUGGACAAUGGGCGCAAGCCUGAUCCAGCCAUGCCGCGUGCAGGAAGACGGCCCUAUGGGUUGUAAACUGCUUUUAUACGGGAAGAAACAACGCCACGUGUGGCGUCUUGACGGUACCGUAAGAAUAAGGAUCGGCUAACUCCGUGCCAGCAGCCGCGGUAAUACGGAGGAUCCAAGCGUUAUCCGGAAUCAUUGGGUUUAAAGGGUCCGUAGGUGGACGAUUAAGUCGGAGGUGAAAUCCUGCAGCUCAACUGUAGAAUGGCCUUUGAUACUGGUUGUCUUGAAUCAUUGUGAAGUGGUUAGAAUAUGUGGUGUAGCGGUGAAA
rnacentral:rRNA from 1 species